AACGAACGCUGGCGGCGUGCCUAACACAUGCAAGUCGAACGAGAAAGGGGCUUCGGCCCUGAGUAAAGUGGCGCACGGGUGAGUAACACGUAGGUAACCUGCCUCUAAGAUCGGGAUAACCCGUCGAAAGACGAGCUAAUACCGGAUAAGACCACAGUCUCCUCGGAGAUCGGGGCCAAAGGUAGCCUCUACUUGUAAGCUAUCACUUAGAGAUGGGCCUGCGUACCAUUAGCUAGUUGGNGGGGUAAUGGCCUACCAAGGCAAAGAUGGUUAGCUGGUCUGAGAGGAUGAUCAGCCACACUGGAACUGAGACACGGUCCAGACUCCUACGGGAGGCAGCAGUGGGGAAUAUUGCGCAAUGGGCGAAAGCCUGACGCAGCAACGCCGCGUGAGUGAUGAAGGCCU
rnacentral:rRNA from 1 species